AAUAUAUAUUAAAUAUACGGAUGGUUGCAUGUGUAGUGUCAAUUGUAUUUUUUAGUGUCUUGAUAUAAAAUAUUACAUGUUCAUACCACAUAUAUUGAUAGUCCACGUAUAUACGAAUAUACUGUAUAUUUAAUUAGUGUUGUAUGUGGUUUUCUAAUAGUGAAGGUACUUCACAAUCCUUAUCAACAAUAGUCAAAGUGGUAGGCGUUUUCCUCAUUGUCAUUUAUGUUUGAAGGCCACAAUAGCCCUGCAAUGCCAGUUGCAUAACCUGGAGGCCAUGAAAACGGAAAUGGACGUCUCAGACAAUCAACUGGAGAGGUGGAUCAUUGAUAUCAAUGAGUGGGCAGAAGGUAGGAUAUACUGUUUUAUACUGUUUGAUAUGGUGCUUGAUGUAUCACUUCUGACUUAUUUUGGCUGCAAUUCCAAAGAGGCUCAUUGUAAUCGUAGUCAAAGAGCACAUACUCUGAUUGCCGAUGACGUGUGGACAAGAUUAUCCCUAUGGGGACAAUAAAGAACCUAACUAUACUCAACCUUAGCUACAAGUGUAGCCUCUCAGUUACAGAUAAAUAUGAAAAGAUUGUUGAGGCUUUAUUUUGCUCAUACACCAGAAAUAAUAUUUUUUCAUGGAAUCAAGAAGCAUAUUUCUUAUCUCUUAAUUUCUUCCUCUCAGCAACAACAUCCCCAAAUGAUGCUGAUGUUGCCGCUGUUGCCAGCCGAAUUGAGGAGCUGGUGGCAAGUGUUAAGAGGAGGUCCCAGCGUCUUUACAAGGAUAGUGACGGAUGCAAAGGACGUGCCCGAAUCCGCCGAAAGAUCAGGGAGGAAAAAAAAAUCUUAAAUUCUGUAGUGGAAAAGUACAACACCUUGGUUCCUAAUGCAGAAAAACUGUCAUUGGACACCAUUCUAUCUGACGAGAUUGUUUGGCCAUGGCAGCUUACACACGGUGACUCUGUUGAUCUAAGGACAAAGAGGAAGGCGUUCGACAUUGUGAUGGCAGUAAGGAGACUUGAGGAGGAGAAGAGGAUUCUUAUUGCAGAGAUGAACAAGCAUUGGAAGUCUCUUUGCUCCCGUGCAGACACCCUGAAGCAGAUGUCAUCCAAGCUUUCUAAUGUGACAUCAGGUGAGACUUGGGGCCUGCUUCAAGAUGGUAUCCGAGGUCUACAAAGCUUGACGAUGAAGAACAAGCGAGCAAGCAACAGCCUGGCAAAGCAUGCAAAGAAAUAUUAUGUUCAAGUUCUGACUGAAACAGAAAUUAACUUUGAUAGUGAUUCUGAGGAAUACCAUACCAGUAGUGACUCUGAGCAAGAUUAAACAUGGCCAGAGUCCUUUUUAUGCUGUUGUGUGCUGGGGAGGCAGCAUUAAAGAAGAGGGCCGCUGGGACAGGUUGUUAAGGAAAGCUGGCUCUGUGUUUGGCAUGGAGCUGGAGUUAAUUAUUUAACAAACUGAGGAUAAUUUGCAGUAGCAGUCUUCUGUCAUGCUCAACAUUGAGGAGGUCCUUUGUCCCCAGGGCAUACCAGCAACUCAAUGUCACAGAAAAGGUUAGGGGAGAAAUUGACUUUUCAGCAUGAGUCUCACCCUGCGCCAACCAUUACAUCGCUUUGUCUAUUGUCUAGUAUCCACUAUCCAUUUGACUGUCUUACAGGCUACAUUAGCCCCUCUACACAUUCUGAACUGUGGUUUCAACAUUUACCCCUGUUGGCUUGUAUAAUCUUUUUUCUUUUUUAUAUAUAUAUUUAAGUUUCUGUUUUUCUAUCUAUUUUAACUUCUUUGUAUUGUUUUUGUUAAGCAAUACUAUUAUGCUCAGACUCUUUUUUCCAUAGUCAUAUUAAACAUGCACAGCUUUGCACUGAUUAAAUCCCUGCACUGUUUACUUUUGCACUACCACCACUGCAAAUCACUCUAUAGUUGCCCAUCAUGUAUCACAGGGUCAGUCCCUACCAGGCCUUUGUAAUCACUUGACAUGCUCUUCACUUUUUACAUUUGUGAUUUUUGUUAUGUGUCUGAGUUGUGUGUUGUUUUUGUGGUUGUAUAAGCUAAUAAAUGCCUAAAAUGUGGUGUGUCGUCUUAAGUAGCCUACUGUGUCUGUACUAGGGGGAAGAAGACAUUUCAUCAUGACAGUUUCCUCCAUCUCCUAGAGACAUCUUACAUGGAUACACAGAUAACAUUUAUUCACGAGAUCAUAUAUUUUGUAUGUAUUUGUUUUAAUGUUAUUAUUUCUGUCUUAUUGCCAGGGAAGCUGGAUUGCUUUGUUUAUUGAUAUUUUUAAAACUACAAUGCUACAUCUAUCAACAUUUAUUUAGAUGUUAUCAUGGUAUUCAUUACAUUAUUUUAAUAAUAUAAUUUCAGUCUUAUUAUUGGUGAAACAUUACAGUAUGCUGUAAGACAGAACACUACAAUGUGGGCCGAGUGGGUCACAUGCGAAUCCCAUAUCCCACAAUGCAGGUCAGGGGGUCUUUAACGCCAGUAUAGCUUCAAUGUACAUAUUUAAUCAGUGGUUUUGUCACCAGCAACAACACUUUGCUCAGUUUUGAACUUUUUGAGUGUAGUUGAAGCCCAUUCACAGCAGACAGCAGUCCACCCACCCAGCCCGGAAGAACUACAAGUAACACUAGCUUUGUAACUGUUCUGUGGUGUGUCUCUAGUGGAAGUUGUAGUUUUAAAAUGUAGUGGUAUAUUUCUCAUAAGUAGAAGUUGGCAGUGUAGAAUUUUG
rnacentral:lncRNA from 1 species